CGUUAGUAGUCUUGAGUUUGAUUCUAAAAUGCUUGCUGUGUUUCUCCAUGUAGUAUCUCGGCUGACCCAAUGUUUGUAGUAGUUACUUAUAGAAUUACCUCAUACCCUUAGUGUUCUGUAAACAUUCAAUGUUCUAGAAAUUUUGCUCCUUCGGCUGUUGUUCGCGGCUUAACUAAAGGAAAAAGAGAUCCCACCCCAGAAACGGUUGGGGAUGGGGUGCGAAGAAACGGGGGAAUAUGAAGUAUGUAUGUUUUGGGGCCAAACUUGUGUCCUGAGACCAUAUUAGCAUGGUUAUAAACUCCAACUUGAAGUGACAUACUGGUUUAGACCAUCACAAUCUGUCGGGAAAAUCAUUGAAAUCAAUCCAUACAUGGUUGACACUAUGGCUGGAGGUGAUGCUGACUGCCAGUUCUGGCACAGGAACCUGGGAAUUAAGUGCCUGUCUGCAUGAGCCUGCAAAUAGGAGAACGAUAUCUGUCGCCGGGGCAUUGAAGUUGCUAGUCAGUUGUAUUCCUGCCAUGGCAAGGGAUCGUCUGUUGGAACAAUGAUCGCUGGACGGGGACACAAAGGCACUGUCAUAAGGACUCUUUGCAUAGUUUUAUCCUGAAUUCUACGUCUUAUUGUAAGUAAUUGGUUGUUCCUUGCAAGGUCCAGGCCUAUACUAUGCGGACAGUGAAUGCGGAUGGCUAACAGGAACUGUAGUUUCAGUUGGAUCGGGAUCACCAUGUGCUUACGGUGUUUUGGAUGGUGGGUCUGUUCUGCUCCAAUCAUCCUAAUUCCUCUAGCAUUGUUGGAUUAGCUGACCAUUCAUUAGUGAUUGCAAUGUGAAAAGAGCAGGACUGUCUUAUUGUGUUUUGUUCCAAGGAAUUUUGUGCCUGUUUGGAUGAAUGCUUCAAUCUCUGCUGUUUGUUGUACCCUCUUUGCAUUCUCAUGCAUGCUUCUCUGUGAUCACAUUUCAGGUACCGGUUUGAUAUAUGUCUCUUGAAGCAGCAGCUGGGCUGGCCAGACCCGCCGUUUACCAUGCCACAUUCAGAGAUGGCGCCGGUGGUGAUGGUGUCGGUGGUAUGUUUGUAUCUUCGCUCCAUUUUUCUGCUUGUUAGUUGGUCUGGUUUGAGAACAGGGUUUCUGCUCUCGUUGGUUUAUCGCGUGGGACCUAACGAAUGGAAGAAGCUUUCUGGCGAGGCGAUGAUGUUGGAGAACUUCACCGCACAUAUUAUCCUGUCGAGCAAACGUUAGUGGAGCGGGAAAUGGAUGAGGAUUUAACGUCUUCAGAUAUUGAAACGGGAAGAAGAUUUACGCAUGUAAUUUGAUUAUUCACAAGACGGUCGAAAGAACAGCCAAAGUCGCCACUACAUUCUUCCUCGCGAAUUGACUUGGGUUACAGGAGUGGUUCCCGCUGUAGUGACCGCAUCAUUAUUCUCUUGAAAUGCCCUUCUUUUUGGCAAAUCGACAAAUAAGUUAAAAAAGAGUAUCAGUCUUGCCAAACGACAGAAAAGAUAGAGUAGGUGUCUCGCGGAAGCCUAAAUCCGAGUCAAGGAAGAAUCGGGUCACCUUCAAAUUCAGACAGUGGUUAUCACCGCUUUUAGGUUUCGGGUUAUGAGUUUUAGAUUGAUAAAGGUAACUUAUAAAAUACUGUGGAUCUAAAUCAGGUU